ACCUAUGCAGGCACGUGAAAAAACACAGACGGUGUUAGCAAGCAUCCUAUUAAAAACACCAAACACAGCUCCAGAUGGAGACCCAAGGGAGGCUACUGCUGCCUCACUAUUUUUUUUUUAAAGCAUCAAUACAUUUGUGAAAAUGUACAGAUUCAUUUUCAGAGCAGGUUGCAUCUUAUGGAUAAUCUAGCAUGUAUUUCUUAAAAUAUUUGGCUUAUGUCAGUUAAGGCAAAUCUGUAUAAAAAUAUGAUAAACUGUUGUGCUUGGUGUAAAAUUACCUGCAGAGGAGAACUUGAUGUCAGCCACUGCUUCAGAUUCCCCAAGUCCUUCAUCUAACGUGAUGUCUUCAGCAACAAGAGGAGGAAAUCCUGCCAUUCUUUCUUCUCCACCCACUGGUACCUUCCAUUGGGAGGAGAUAAAGUUAUUUGGAAAUUCAAAUGAAACCCCUGAUAACUCUAAUAUUAAGUAAGGCACUGAUAAGAUAAUACUGUACAGGUAUCAAAAAUAAAACCAUUAAACUAACAGGCCUGUCUGGACACACAGGUUAAUCCCUGCCUCAUUAGAAACCAAGGGUACAUGGAUAAUGGUUAACAUCAGCUCUAUGUUUACAGAUGUUUCAAUUAUUGGAAAUAAGAGGAUAAUAAUUUACCUAUUUAUUAAUGGAUUUCUCUGUGUUUAUCACUAAGAACACAAACACAGACGUUACAGUAUGGUCCCUGCUCCUGAGGAGAUCAGAAGGUGGAAAAGCAAGUAAAUAAAAGGAGCUAUGUCCCAACCCCUCCUCAUCACCACAAACACUUACACAGCAGUGACAGCGGUGCCCUGGCUCUGGAUCUUCUCCACAACCUCAUGGUGUGGUCACAGCAGACAGAGGUAAAGGAAACUCGCCUCAAGUCGCACAGCUUCACUUAAGUGGUGGAGCAGAGUAGGAUUUGAACCCAGCCUAGCUCCAGUGAUCUUAACCAUCAUACACUACAGGCUAGCCAACAGUGUGUAUGCCGGUCUGGUUAAAGAACUAUAAAUAGGGCCCCAUUCAGUUUCUAGUGAACUUGGAACAAUUUCAGUGGCACAAAAAGGGCACAGCAGGGACUGCAGAGGAUGGGAGGUGAAGAGCAGGAGUCAGCUUGAUUGUAAAGAAGAGGAAGGAGCGGGACACUUGAGUUUUGUUUUGUUUCUGAAAGAUUAGAGAAAUUUUCACACACUGCUUAACAGGUCAAAGGAAGGCUCAAGUAAGCAGGAGAGAAGACGUACGAUAGUCUCUAAGUAUCUGUGAUUAAGAACGUGGGAGGAGAGCUUUUCUACCCAGACAAGGGCUUCUAAGCUCAGCACUACUCACAUGUGGACCAGAUAAUUCCCUGUUGUGAGGGGCUGUCCUGUGCACGCAUUAUGUUUAGCAUCAUCUCUGGCCUCCACCCACUACAUGCCAGGAGCAUCACCCAGUUGUGAGAAAAUCCAACGUCUCCUCACUCACAUUAUCCAGCGCAACUUUUUGAAAUGAAGUGACCACUGGGCAGUUGAAAAGUGCCUAGUGUAAGUAAAGAACUAAAUUUUAAAGUUUAUUUAAUUUUAAUUAUUGAAAUAGCCACAUGUGGCUACCAUACUGGACAGUGUCACCCAGAGAAAACCCAACUCUGUCAGUAUCGCGGGGUCAGUCCAAUCCAACAUCCCUUUUGUUAUCAGAGCCCGUCUCACUUUAUAGCCAAAAUCCUCAAGGUGAACAAGGUCAGGGAGAGCUAGCUGAUGAUGUAACAAAGAUAGUUCUGUCCAACAAAGGCUUUUUAUCAGGGCUGUGGGACUACCAGGGUGUAUUAACCUAACUAUUCAACCAUCAAAUCACGUUGGCUCACCUUCAGUAGCGUAUGACCUGCGUGCUUCUGAUACAUAGUAUCUGCCUUGUCCAAGGAAGUAAUGUGAACAGGAAGGAAGUUGGAAGCCACAACUGUAAACCAAGCUGACUGAUUUCCCUUAAGAAAGGAAGAAAGAACUUAUCUGUACAAUGAAAACUUAGAAAACCAGCACAUUACAAGGUACAAUUUUAAAAAUCUGGGGAAUUCUCUGGCAGUCCAGUCCUGAGCGCUCUGUGCUUCCACUGCAGUGGCCUGGGUUCAAGCCCUGUUCGGGGAACCAAGGUCCUGCAUACUAUGUGGUGUGGCCAAAAAAAAAAAGAGGAAGGUAGGAAAAACAUGGCAGAAGCAAUGCAUUUACACCCAUAUAAAUAAACCUAUGAUACC